UACGGAGGAUCCAAGCGUUAUCCGGAAUCAUUGGGUUUAAAGGGUCCGUAGGCGGUUUUGUAAGUCAGUGGUGAAAGCCCAUCGCUCAACGGUGGAACGGCCAUUGAUACUGCAAGACUUGAAUUAUUGGGAAGUAACUAGAAUAUGUAGUGUAGCGGUGAAAUGCUUAGAGAUUACAUGGAAUACCAAUUGCGAAGGCAGGUUACUACCAAUAUAUUGACGCUGAUGGACGAAAGCGUGGGGAGCAAACAGG
rnacentral:rRNA from 1 species